UCAAGCUACUAAGGGCAUACGGUGGAUGCCUUGGCACUAGGCACCGAAGAAGGACGUGACAAACUGCGAUAAGCUGCGGUUAGCUGUUAAUAGGCUACGACCCGCAGAUUUCCGAAUGGGGGAACCCACUGAUAGCAAUAUCAGUAUGUUAAGAUGAAUACAUAGUCUUAUCAAGGGAACUCGGGGAACUGAAACAUCUUAGUACCCGAAGGAAAAGAAAGAAAAUAAUCGAUUUCCUAAGUAGUGGCGAGCGAAAGGGAAAGAGCCCAAACUUAGUUUUACUUGUAAAAUUAAGGGUUAGGACCCAAACAUUCGACUUAAAUUCGAUAGUAGAAUAAGCUGGAAAGCUUAACCAAAGAGAGUGAUAGUCUCGUAAACGAAAUUGAAUUUAGCGAUAUGGGUAUCCAGAGUACCACAGGACACGAGAAAUCCGGUGGGAAGAUAGGAGGACCAUCUCCUAAGGCUAAAUAUGACCUAGUGACCGAUAGAGGAUAGUACCGUGAGGGAAAGGUGAAAAGAACCCCGGGAGGGGAGUGAAAUAGAAACUGAAACCGUAUGCUUACAAGCAGAUAUAGCACUACUAAUAGUGUGGUAUCGUACUUUUUGUAGAACGGGCCGGCGAGUUAUGUUGUGUAGCGAGGUUAAGCAAUUCAGUUGUGGAGCCGUAGCGAAAGCAAGUCUUAAUAGGGCGACUUUAGUUGCACGACAUAGACCCGAAACCAGACGAUCUAGCCAUGAGCAGGUUGAAGCGGUGGUAACACACCGUGGAGGACCGAACUCACGCCUGUUGAAAAAGUCGGAGAUGACUUGUGGCUAGCGGAGAAAUUCCAAUCGAGUCUGGAUAUAGCUGGUUCUCCUCGAAAUAGCUUUAGGGCUAGCCUCUGUUUAAGAAUUCUGGGGGUAGAGCACUGUAUGGUCUAGGGGGUUUCACGACUUACCGAAACUUAACAAACUGCGAAUACCAGCAAUUUAUGACAGGGAGUCAGACUGCGACAGAUAAGUGCCGUAGUCAAAAGGGAAAAAGCCCAGAUCUACAACUAAGGUCCCAAAGUACAAGUUAAGUGGAAAAGGAUGUUUCGCCGCUUUGACAGCCAGGAUGUUGGCUUAGAAGCAGCCACUCAUUAAAAGAGUGCGUAAUAGCUCACUGGUCGAGCAGCGGAGUGCCUAAGAUUUCCGGGGCUAAAACUUGUCACCGAAGUUUAGGAAUAUAUUUAUAUAUUGGUAGAGGAGCAAUCUAUACAGGCUGAAGCGGUACCGUAAGGGGCCGUGGACAGUAUAGAAGAGAGAAUGCCGGCAUAAGUAGCGAGAGCUAUGUGAGAAACAUAGCGGUCGAAAGUCCAAGGUUUCCUGGGGAAGGUUUGUCCCCCCAGGGUUAGUCGGGAUCUAAGCCGAGGGCGAAAGCCGUAGGUGAUGAACAACAGGUUGAUAUUCCUGUACUGCCGACAGUCGUUUAAAUGAUGCAGUGACACAGAAGGAUAGUUAGUCCACGCGAUUGGAAAUGCGUGGCCAAAUCAUGAGGCUGGCAAGUAGUUAAGUACGCUUGUCGUAAGGCUAGGUGAUGACGGGGAGUGAAAUAUAGUAACGAAGCUAAUGAAUUCACGCUGGCGAGAAAAGCUGCUAAAUAUGACUGAAGGUACCCGUACCCCAAACCGGCACAGGUGGACGAGGAGAAAAUCCUAAGACGAACGGGAGAACUAUUGUUAAGGAACUCUGCAAAAUGGCCUCGUAACUUAGGGAGAAGAGGCGCCAUACCUAGUAUGGUCACAGAAAAGAGGCCCAAGCGACUGUUUAUCAAAAACACAGGUUUCUGCUAAAUCUAAUGAUGAAGUAUAGGAGCUGACACCUGCCCAGUGCUGGAAGGUCAAGGGGAAAUGUUAGCGCAAGCGAAGCAUAGAACUUAAGCCCCAGUGAACGGCGGCCGUAACUAUAACGGUCCUAAGGUAGCGAAAUUCCUUGUCGGGUAAAUUCCGACCUGCACGAAAGGUGUAACGAUUUGGGCGCUGUCUCAACAGUAGGCCCGGUGAAAUUGUAGUAUACGUGAAGAUGCGUAUUACCCGCGACUGGACGGAAAGACCCCGUAGAGCUUUACUGUAACUUGAUAUUGAAUUUUAGUACUUAAUGUACAGGAUAGGUGGGAGACUUUGAGACUGGAGCGCUAGCUUCAGAGGAGUCAUCCUUGGGAUACCACCCUUUAAUUAUUGAAAUUCUAACCCUGUUCCAUUAUCUGGGCAGGGGACCGUGUCAGGUGGACAGUUUGACUGGGGCGGUCGCCUCCUAAAGAGUAACGGAGGCGUUCAAAGGUUCCCUCAGAAUGGUUGGAAAUCAUUCAUAGAGUGUAAAGGCAUAAGGGAGCUUAACUGCAAGAGAGACAUCUCGAGCAGAUACGAAAGUAGGACUUAGUGAUCCGGCGGUAGAGAAUGGAAUUGCCGUCGCUUAACGGAUAAAAGUUACCUCGGGGAUAACAGGCUUAUCUCCCCCAAGAGUUCACAUCGACGGGGAGGUUUGGCACCUCGAUGUCGGCUCGUCACAUCCUGGGGCUGUAGUCGGUCCCAAGGGUUCGGCUGUUCGCCGAUUAAAGUGGCACGCGAGCUGGGUUCAGAACGUCGUGAGACAGUUCGGUCCCUAUCCAUCGUGGGCGUAGGAUA
rnacentral:rRNA from 1 species